UUGAGCUUGAUCCCUGGCUCAGGAUGAACGCUGGCGGCGUGCCUAAUACAUGCAAGUCGAGCGAAUGGAUUAAGAGCUUGCUCUUAUGAAGUUAGCGGCGGACGGGUGAGUAACACGUGGGUAACCUACCCAUAAGACUGGGAUAACUCCGGGAAACCGGGGCUAAUACCGGAUAAUAUUUUGAACUGCAUAGUUCGAAAUUGAAAGGCGGCUUCGGCUGUCACUUAUGGAUGGACCCGCGUCGCAUUAGCUAGUUGGUGAGGUAACGGCUCACCAAGGCAACGAUGCGUAGCCGACCUGAGAGGGUGAUCGGCCACACUGGGACUGAGACACGGCCCAGACUCCUACGGGAGGCAGCAGUAGGGAAUCUUCCGCAAUGGACGAAAGUCUGACGGAGCAACGCCGCGUGAGUGAUGAAGGCUUUCGGGUCGUAAAACUCUGUUGUUAGGGAAGAACAAGUGCUAGUUGAAUAAGCUGGCACCUUGACGGACCUAACCAGAAAGCCACG
rnacentral:rRNA from 1 species